AACAAACGCUGGCGGCGUGUCUUAAGCAUGCAAGUCGAGCGGCAAGGGCAGCAAUGCCCCUAGAGCGGCGGACUGGUGAGUAACGCGUGGGUGAUCUACCUUGGGCAUGGGGAUAGCCAUUAGAAAUAGUGGGUAAUACCGAAUACGUUCGUUAUCGUGAGGGCAACGGGGAAAGGCGCUACGGCGCCGGCCUGAAGAUGAGCUUGCGUCCCAUUAGCUAGUUGGUGAGGUAACGGCCCACCAAGGGGAUGAUGGGUAGCCGGCCUGAGAGGGUGUACGGCCACACUGGGACUGAGAUACGGCCCAGACUCCUACGGGAGGCAGCAGCUAAGAAUAUUCCGCAAUGGACGAAAGUCUGACGGAGCGACGCCGCGUGGAUGAAGAAGGCCGAAAGGUUGUAAAGUCCUUUUGCUGGGGAAGAAUAAGUCUGGGAGGGAAUGCCCGGAUGAUGACAUGAACCGGCGAAUAAGCCCCGGCUAACUACGUGCCAGCAGCCGCCGUAACAC
rnacentral:rRNA from 1 species